UGCAUACACUGUAAGUCGCUCUGGAUAAGAGCGUCUGCUAAAGGACUAAAA
rfam:Salmo salar isolate Sally breed double haploid chromosome ssa10, whole genome shotgun sequence.